AUUGAACGCUGGCGGCAGGCCUAACACAUGCAAGUCGAGCGGAUGAGAAGAGCUUGCUCUUCGAUUCCGCGGCGGACCGGUGAGUAAUGCCUAGGAAGCUGCCUGGUAGUGGGGGACAACGUUUCGAAAGGAACGCUAAUACCGCAUACGUCCUACGGGAGAAAGCAGGGGACCUUCGGGCCUUGCGCUAUCAGAUGAGCCUAGGUCGGAUUAGCUAGUUGGUGAGGUAAUGGCUCACCAAGGCGACGAUCCGUAACUGGUCUGAGAGGAUGAUCAGUCACACUGGAACUGAGACACGGUCCAGACUCCUACGGGAGGCAGCAGUGGGGAAUAUUGGACAAUGGGCGAAAGCCUGAUCCAGCCAUGCCGCGUGUGUGAAGAAGGUCUUCGGAUUGUAAAGCACUUUAAGUUGGGAGGAAGGGCAGUAAGUUAAUACCUUGCUGUUUUGACGUUACCGACAGAAUAAGCACCGGCUAACUCUGUGCCAGCAGCCGCAGUAACAC
rnacentral:rRNA from 1 species